AGGCACAUUAAAGUCAUAUUAAAGACUCCCCCUCAUUGUCCCUUUUAUCCUCCUUGUUAUUGCCAGUGCCAGCCCUUUAUUGCUUUGGGGAUGGAGGAGCAGAGACACAAAGAAAGGUCAUUUUGCUUGACCCCUCAAUUUGGAGGAUCUGAAGGAAGCUUUGGUGGAAACCAUGGAGGCAGCUUCCUAAUUGGCAUGAAUGGAAAGCAGAUCAUGCAGAAUCUGAAUGACCACUUCGCUUCUUACCUAGAGGAUAUACACUCUCUGGGCAUAUCUGAUAUAAAACUCAAAAGUUACAUCAUGGAAUGGCAUAAGAAGAGGGAGCCUGACAAUAACAGCCAUGCAGAGAGCUGCAAGGAACUGAGAUGUACCUUCCAGGUCCUAGAGAUUAACCUUCAGAUCUGACACAGUAAAAAUAUAUACUCUGGAAAGUAUUGAGUGCUGCUACUUCUUCCAGAUCGCCAGGAUAUACAGCAGAUGAGUCUCCCACUAAAAGGUGGAGAAGAUGCAGUUGCUGCAUGACUUGGAGCAUCACAAGUACAAGAUCUUUCUGGGCAUCAAGAUUCAUCUUGAGAAUGACAUUGUCACCUACUUUCUGCUUAUGGAGGGUGAGGGCAAAGGGAAAACAGAAGAGUCCAAAUCAGUCAAAAGCUCCAAAGAUAAAGUUAUGACACAGGGCAUUGUGAAUUGAAAAGUUAUCCUUUUGCAGGUCAUUUUGAUGCAGGAGUCUGAGAGUGAAGCACAUAAAGGUUUCUACUAGGUCUAAAUACUUUUCUAAUGAAAAUUCAGGCAGACCCAAACCACUCAUGGAGAUGUUCUACAUGGCACAUUUGGAAUGAUUAAUGUAUCGAUUGUAAAAACUCACCUUUUUCCUCUGUAACAUGCUUAAUCUUUCACUGUACUUACCAAAUUAAUGUGUGAUUUAAUAAGAAUUAAAAUAGCUGCCUUCUAAAUAUCAGCUUCAGGGGCAGCUAGAUGGUGCAGUGGAUAGAGCACUGGCCGUGGAUUCAGGAAGACCUGAGUUCAAAUCUGGCCUCAGACACUUGACACUUAGUAGCUGUGUGACCCUGGGCAAGUCACUUCACUCCAUUGCCUCACCUAAGUAAAUAAAUAAAUAAAUAAAUAUCA
rnacentral:lncRNA from 1 species